AGUAGGGAAUCAUCCGCAAUGGGCGAAAGCCUGACGGUGCAACGCCGCGUGAGUGAUGAAGGUUUUCGGAUCGUAAAGCUCUGUUGACAGGGAAGAACGUCAGUCGAACAGGCUGGCGUGCUGACGGUACCUGUCCAGAAAGCCCCGGCUAACUACGUGCCAGCAGCCGCGGUAAUACGUAGGGGGCAAGCGUUGUCCGGAAUUAUUGGGCGUAAAGCGCGCGCAGGUGGUUUCUUAAGUCUGAUGUGAAAGCCCACGGCUCAACCGUGGAGGGUCAUUGGAAACUGGGAGACUUGAGUGCAGAAGAGGAAAGUGGAAUUCCAUGUGUAGCGGUGAAAUGCGUAGAGAUAUGGAGGAACACCAGUGGCGAAGGCGACUUUCUGGUCUGUAACUGACACUGAGGCGCGAAAGCGUGGGGAGCAAACAGGAUUAGAUACCC
rnacentral:rRNA from 1 species